rnacentral:rRNA from 1 species
AGGGAAUCUUCCGCAAUGGACGAAAGUCUGACGGAGCAACGCCGCGUGAGUGAUGAAGGUUUUCGGAUCGUAAAACUCUGUUGUUAGGGAAGAACAAGUACCGUUCGAAUAGGGCGGCACCUUGACGGUACCUAACCAGAAAGCCACGGCUAACUACGUGCCAGCAGCCGCGGUAAUACGUAGGUGGCAAGCGUUGUCCGGAAUUAUUGGGCGUAAAGCGCGCGCAGGCGGUUUUUUAAGUCUGAUGUGAAAGCCCACGGCUCAACCGUGGAGGGUCAUUGGAAACUGGAAGACUUGAGUGCAGAAGAGGAGAGUGGAAUUCCACGUGUAGCGGUGAAAUGCGUAGAGAUGUGGAGGAACACCAGUGGCGAAGGCGACUCUCUGGUCUGUAACUGACGCUGAGGCGCGAAAGCGUGGGGAGCAAAC